AUCCAGUUAACGAGUCCCAAAUAGGACGAAACGCACAUGCUGGAU
rnacentral:hammerhead_ribozyme from 1 species